CAGGAAGAGGUACAGUCGUAGGACGCGGAGAGACUCUAGCUCUGGUUACACAUGGCCUGGCCCUUCGUGUAAUAAUAUGUGUGUAGCCAGGGCUUGGGCCUGCUUCCUUCCUUAGUCACCAGCUGUCGCCAC
rnacentral:precursor_RNA from 10 species